rnacentral:rRNA from 1 species
AUUGAACGCUGGCGGCAGGCCUAACACAUGCAAGUCGAGCGGAUGAAGGGAGCUUGCUCCUGGAUUCAGCGGCGGACGGGUGAGUAAUGCCUAGGAAUCUGCCUGGUAGUGGGGGAUAACGUCCGGAAACGGGCGCUAAUACCGCAUACGUCCUGAGGGAGAAAGUGGGGGAUCUUCGGACCUCACGCUAUCAGAUGAGCCUAGGUCGGAUUAGCUAGUUGGUGGGGUAAAGGCCUACCAAGGCGACGAUCCGUAACUGGUCUGAGAGGAUGAUCAGUCACACUGGAACUGAGACACGGUCCAGACUCCUACGGGAGGCAGCAGUGGGGAAUAUUGGACAAUGGUGGAAAGCCUGAUCCAGCCAUGCCGCGUGUGUGAAGAAGGUCUUCGGAUUGUAAAGCACUUUAAGUUGGGAGGAAGGGCAGUAAGUUAAUACCUUGCUGUUUUGACGUUACCAACAGAAUAAGCACCGGCUAACUUCGUG